rnacentral:rRNA from 1 species
GUGCCAGCCGCCGCGGUAACACCGGCAGCCCGAGUGAUGGCCGAUAUUAUUGGGCCUAAAGCGUCCGUAGCUGGCCGCGCAAGUUCGUCGGGAAAUCCACUCGCUUAACGAGUGGGCGUCCGGCGAAAACUGUCCGGCUUGGGUCCAAAAGACCCGAGGGGUACGUCCGGGGUAGGAGUGAAAUCCUGUAAUCCUGGACGGACCGCCGGUGGCGAAAGCGCCUCGGGAGGACGGACCCGACGGUGAGGGACGAAAGCCAGGGUCUCGGACCGGAUUAGAAACCCCAGUAGUCC